AUAAUUACACACAUUUACAGACAAACCUCCUGAGAUUAUGUGCUAUUCAGAUUUCGGGGACCAUCACGCAGAGGCUAUAAAGCCUUUCUCUCAAGUCAGAAAGGUACUUUCGGUAGCGCACACGGACGAUGAUGGAGCGUUUCAUUGAUGGCAUCAAGAGGCUGCAAGCAUCCGGCAGACGCAUUUUGCUAUGUCUGCGGCCAAUUUAUCAAGACAAGAACAAAAAAGUACUCCGUUGAAGCAUCUGCCAAGAUGUGCGAGGCCUACAAGGCAUAUUUCCGCAUGCCUGUCGGGGAUCAAGACAAACCCUGGGCACCUCAUUUCACCUAAGAGCACUGCAAAAAAACUCUGGAAGGAUGGUACAGAGGGGAAAAGAGAGCCAUGAAGUUUGCUAUCCCAAGAAUUUGGCGGGAACCCACUGACCACUCAAGCAACUGCUACUUCUGCAUGGUGGACCCUUCCAAAUGUCGGACUGGCAAGAAUGCACCUGCUAUCAUGUAUCCGGACCUUCCUUCAUCCAUCGCCCCGGUGCCACACUGCCAUGAGCUCCCCGUACCCACUCCUCCAGAGAGAGAGCAGCCGUCUUUAGAAGAGAGCAGCAAGUCAGAGAGCGAGGAAGACGUUGUAGAUCCAGAUGACAAUUUCAGAGGUGGCGCUGAGGAGAGAAACCCAUACCACCCCAACCAAAAAGACCUCAACAACUUGAUUAGAGAUCUUGGUCUCACCAAGUCCAAUGCCGAGCUUUUGACGUCUAGGCUCAAGCAGUGGAACUUGUUGAAUGAAAGUCGCAGAUAAUUAAUCCAUUUUGUAUUUGUGUUGAUCUUGGUGUGUAUUGUUUAGACUAGUUUAUACUAUGAUUUUUAAUAAAAUAAACACUUAUUUUAA